AGAACGAACGCUGGCGGCAUGCCUAACACAUGCAAGUCGAACGAGACCGCUGACUUCGGUUGGCGCGCCUAGUGGCGCACGGGUGCGUAACGCGUGGGAAUCUGCCCUUGGGUACGGAAUAACAGUUAGAAAUGACUGCUAAUACCGUAUAAUGACUUCGGUCCAAAGAUUUAUCGCCCAGGGAUGAGCCCGCGUAGGAUUAGCUUGUUGGUGAGGUAAAGGCUCACCAAGGCGACGAUCCUUAGCUGGUCUGAGAGGAUGAUCAGCCACACUGGGACUGAGACACGGCCCAGACUCCUACGGGAGGCAGCAGUGGGAAUAUUGGACAAUGGGCGAAAGCCUGAUCCAGCAAGUGCCGCGUGAGUGAUGAAGGCCUUAGGGUUGUAAAGCUCGUUUGCCCGGAUGAUAAUGACAGUACCGGAGAAUAAGCUCCGACUAACUCCGUGCCAGCAGCCGC
rnacentral:rRNA from 1 species